CGUGGCCUCUAAGCGGCCAGGGGCGGGGCCUGCGGUCGGCGGGAUCACGUGGCCGGCGGUGGGGCCUCGGGGCUCCCGCGAGAGCCUUGCGGACCUACCCCUUCCAGAUACGUUUACCCUGCAGUGGUUGCUUUGAGGGACCGAUCCUCGUCUUCAAAACAGGUCUUGAAGAGGAGGUGCAGGAUUAUUCCAUCCAGUGGAGAACUCAGUGUAGUCUCUGCCACAUCAAGGCAGUGCCAGCCACCCUGUGGCUCUCCACAGAAGUGUCAGCAAAGUGGGAGAGAGCUCCUGGGGCGCAUCCAUGGUCGCUGUUGCAUGGUACUCCGCAGUUGCCGUUGCAGCAGUGACAGCACUGGUGACUUCAUGGAGCACUUUGGGUAAUUAGCUGUGAAAGGUGCGGCAGAAACCAGUGAUGUGUGUGCUCAGAGGUGACUGGUGACUGCAUGGCCCUCAGAAUGUCACUCAUCGGUUACCUCUUCCACGUACCCUGACCGGCCUUAAAAUUACAGCCCUUGGACUGGAGAGAUAUCUCAGUGGUUAAGAGCACUGUUCUUCCAGAUGACCCAAGUUUGAUUCCUAGCAGCCAUGAUUAGAACCUUCCUGCUUCUCACUCUCAAAUCUCCCCUGUUCACUUCAUAGCAUCUGUAACCUUUUUAUACAGUCCAUAGCUCUCUCCUAUUUGUUAAUACACUCUACCACAGUGUUAGAAAACAGUCUGACACCAGGGAACUUUGUUUUGAGACAGAACCUUCUUGUGUAGGCCAGGUUGGUCUUAAGCUUUGAAUCCUCCUGCCUCAUCUUCCCAGGUGCUAGUACUACAGGUGUGUACUGUCAUGCCCAGCUCGUAAAUACUUGUUGAACCAAUGAUAUAUGGUUUUAUGAUAGUUACAUCUUUCCUCCUUAAAUUUGUAAUAUACUUGGAGGUCUUAUAAAAUGUCAAUUAAAACAGUUGUUUUUAAUUGUUUGUGACCAUAUACUUAAGUGUUCUUUGAUGUAUCAAGGAACAAAAAAGAAUUAAAUAUUCUAUUGUAUUUCUCAGAGGGAAUAAAAAUCCAUGGGAAAAGGGAACUGGAAACAAGGGUGUCCUGGCCAGUGUCUCAAUUAACAGGAGAGCCUCCAUUCCUUCUACAGCCCACACUUCAAAAAGAAUAUGAGCAAUCCAGCCACCGGAUUGACCACAAACCCCAUCAUUUAAUCUGCCUCUGUCCCCUCAGGCUUUGCCCUCCUUUCUCUUACAGUAAAAUGUUUAUAGGCCAAUCAGAAGCCAUUUGUGGUUUGGAUCCUGUCACCUGUGUAAAGAUGUGAUUCUAGAGUCUCCCUCUCUACACCACAGCGUCUGCUUCUCAGUGUGUCACUCCCAUCAGCCCACACCGCCACUAAUGCCACCUCUCAAAACUAAAGGCUCAGAGGCCGCUUCUUUCAGUCUUGUGUCCAGGGAAACUUCAUUCUCA